rnacentral:rRNA from 1 species
GAUGAACGCUGGCGGCGUGCCUAAUACAUGCGAGUCGAGCGAACGGACGAGAAGCUUGCUUCUCUGAUGUUAGCGGCGGACGGGUGAGUAACACGUGGAUAACCUACCUAUAAGACUGGGAUAACUUCGGGAAACCGUAGCUAAUACCGGAUAAUAUUUUGAACCGCAUGGUUCAAAAGUGAAAGACGGUCUUGCUGUCACUUAUAGAUGGAUCCGCGCUGCAUUAGCUAGUUGGUAAGGUAACGGCUUACCAAGGCAACGAUGCAUAGCCGACCUGAGAGGGUGAUCGGCCACACUGGAACUGAGACACGGUCCAGACUCCUACGGGAGGCAGCAGUAGGGAAUCUUCCGCAAUGGGCGAAAGCCUGACGGAGCAACGCCGCGUGAGUGAUGAAGGUCUUCGGAUCGUAAAACUCUGUUAUUAGGGAAGAACAUAUGCGUAAGUAACUGUGCACAUCUUGACGGUACCUAAUCAGAAAGCCACGGCUAACUACGUG